GCAACCCCUAUUGUUAGUUGCCAUCAUUCAGUUUGGGCACUCUAGCGAGACUGCCGGUAAUAAACCGGAGGAAGGUGGGGAUGACGUCAAAUCAUCAUGCCCCUUAUGACCUGGGCUACACACGUGCUACAAUGGUUGGUACAACGAGUUGCGAGUCGGUGACGGCGAGCUAAUCUCUUAAAGCCAAUCUCAGUUCGGAUUGUAGGCUGCAACUCGCCUACAUGAAGUCGGAAUCGCUAGUAAUCGCGGAUCAGCACGCCGCGGUGAAUACGUUCCCGGGCCUU
rnacentral:rRNA from 1 species